UAUUGGUGUUGCAAACGAUGUAACGAUCACUAAAUUCUGUGCCUAUGUGAGAUUUGUUGGUUCAUCGAAUAACAUCAAAGUUACAGUUGUUACUCUACGUUUCCCUCAUUAAUUACUCUUCCACUCAAACUUCUCUGGGAUUGGUGGAAAAAGAAGAGAAAACUUCGACUGAAAUACGAUAAGGAAGGUAAACGGUCAAGCAAAGUGUGCAAGGUCGUUGAUGGAGUAUUCUAUGUGAAAUCCUCUCACCGGUCUGAGCCCCACCAACUGAACAUCAGAGGACCAACUUGCACCUGCAGACAUAUUUUUCAAGCUAUUGAUGAUGGUUUAAUGAAAUGCAAUGGGAGGACCUACCUGAAGAUUACAGAAACAUACUGUUCUUCGUAAAAGAUAAAGGAAGUGAUAUUGGGAUAUGGCCAGCUGAUGCAGAUGUAAACAAAUGCUGCGAUUAUCCAGCAUCAGAAGACGAGGAUGAAGAAGUAGAAGAUGAUGAGGUUGGAGGAAAUGGGGAUAAAAGAAAGAAGAAACGGGACAUAGACUAUAAAGGAGAUUGGCGGGAGCUUUCAAACAGAAUAACUUCCUUCGUUAAUGAUCCUGAGUUUGACGUGAUGGACGAUGAUGUCCGUGCAUUAUUAUAUAAGAAACUGUCAGAUACCGUCAAUGAUGUGGCAUCCUAUAUUUACAAAAGAAACUAAAUUAGAUAACAUAGAUAAGAUAAUGUUUGAUAAUAUAUUACUUUAAAAGCCGUGCAAUCAUUUUAGAUAUUAGAUAUUAAACUAACCAUAUUAUGAUAUUCUCCGUCUAACUAUUCGAUCUGUCUCCAUCUCACUAUUCAAUCGGUCUCAACGUUCAUUCUCUGUUUAACUAUUCAAUCUCUGUCUCAGUGUUCAUUUUCUUGUUUAACUAUUCAAUCUUUGUCUCAGCGUUCAUUCUCUGUCUCGACAUUUAUUCUCCGUCUGACUAUUUAAUCUGUCUCAAUGUUCAUUCUCUGUCUCGACGUUCAUUCUCCGUCUCACUAUUCAAUCUGUCUCAAUGUUCAUUCUCUGUCUCGACGUUCAUUCUCCGUCUCACUAUUCAAUCUGUCUCAAUGUUCAUUCUCUGUCUCGACGUUCAUUCUCCGUCUCACUAUUCAAUCUGUCUCAAUGUUCAUUCUCUGUCUCGACGUUAAUUCUCCGUCUCAUUAUUCAAUCUCUGCAUCAGUGUUCAUUCUCUAUUUUAGAGUCAAUUCCCUGUCUUACCUAUCAAUCUUUCUCGGUGUUCAUUCCCUGUCUGACUGUUCAAUUUCUGUCUCACUGUCCAUUCUCUGUCUCGCUGUUCAAUCUUCGUGUUUCUUUCAAAGUGUUACAGUGACAAGGAGACCGAAUGAUAUUGUUGUAAAAUAAAAAGCUUGUCCGCUUUAGUUAUAGUGAUAUUAAAACAUAUACAACACCAUGUAUUAUGAAAUUUUAGAUUUUGUUACAAAAUA